UUUUUUUUUUUUUUUUAAAAAAACCUUCAUGAUUUCACUAAACUUUGACUGGACUUUAAAUGACUUCGUAUAUAUAGACCAACAUUCAUACUGUUUGGUCCAGUUUUUCACCAGAGAUGAGUUUCUUAUGUGGUUAAUAUAACUUUGGAUUUAGAAAGUGUCGUGUUAGAACCAUACUGAUUAGCUUUACCAAAGUAAAGAAUGAAAUAUAAAUAGUACCUGGGCAUCUUCAAAAGUCAGUCAUGAAUUAAAUUAGUCAUAAAAAAAAUUUCUCUAAACAAGCUUCCUUUAGGUUUUUAGUAUCAGAUAUCUCCUAAGAUAGCAGGUGGGUAAGAAAUCUGUCUGGCAGUGUUUUUCUCCUUCACCAAGGGGGAAUGGAUAAAUCACCUUAGGGGUGUAUCUUUCUUAAACACCAAAUGAUGUGGAAGUGUGUUUUUUUUGUUUGGAGACAAUGCUUCAAAAAUUCCCACCUCUUAAUUUUUACUUCUUUUUCUCAACUCAUCCAUCCUCUGUCUUUCCAGAUUGCUUUCCUAAUAUUCCAACCCUUUUGACCCCAUUGUGACUUUUAAUCCAUUGUGGGUUUUUUUGUUUUUUUCUUUUUAGGGCCACACCCACGGUAUAUGGAAGUUCCUAGGCUAGGGGUCCAAUCUGCUAUAGCUGCCAGCCUGCACCACAGCCGCAGCCACAGCAAGGCGGGAUCUGAGCUGCAUCUGCAACCUACACCACAGCUCACGUCAAUGCCAGAUCCCUGACCCAUUGAGCAAGGCCAGGGAUUGACUCCACAACCUCAUGGAUACUAGUCAGAUUUGUUUCCGCUGAGCCAUGAUGGGAACUCCCUCAGUCCAUUGAUUUAACUUUCUAUAUCAUACUUGGCAGAACCACAGCCAGAUUAAAUCUAAUUCAUCUGUUCAUUGUGACUGGUGAGUCUGAAGUUUACUGGAGAAAAAUAAUCUCAAUGACUGUUCUUGCUCUAAAAAAUAAAUGAUUGCAAACCUUGUAUCUUGUCUAGACGCACAAUUCUGCCACACAGAGAAUAGGUCCUUGUCAUUUGCCCUCCAUUCACCACCUCUCUCCUCGAUUACCUAAUGAAUGACCUGCUUCCUACCUUGCAGUAGAACCUGAGGCAAUCAAAAGAGAGUAAGCAUUCCCAUCUUACACACUCACCUUCCAGCAUCCCAACUAACUGCAUUUAUCUAAGACUAGUAGCUCUGCUACUCAUUAGGGCCCAUCCUCUUGCUCCAGUAGUUAGUUCUUCCCCUUUGACAUCAUCCAUUUUGGGGGUGGGAGGCAAAAUGUGCAGUGGCUUGAUGUGAGAUCUCAGUUUACAGACCAGGGACUGCAUUUGGCUACAGUGGUGAAAACACUUCAUGCUCAGUGCUAGACCACCAGGGGACCCCCUAUUGGAUCAGUCUUUUUCCCAUUUCAAAAAUGUCAUGACUCUGUUUCCCCUGCCAGUUCCUGCCAUUUUAUUUUUUCAUUCAUUUUGUAGUAAAACUCAAAAGUUUUAUAUGGUUUCUAAUGAUCACUUUCCAUUUUUUCUUAAACCUUUCUUGAUCAGGCUUUUACCCCUGCUGUUCCAUAGGAAUGUUGCUAGUGAUUUCAUGUUGCUAAAUCAUGUGGUCACCUUUUUUUUCCACUAUAAAAGAUCAAGGCUUAUUUCUUGUUCAUGCCGCAUGUCCAUCAUGGUUGUGUGGUGGUUUCGUCUAUGUUAGUCUCACAACCCAAACUAAUGGAAGCUCCACCAUGUGAAACUUCCACUCUAGCUCAAGACAGGCAGUGAACAUAGUAAAUAAGUAAUUCACAUGUUAGGAAAUGAGAGCCUUGUAUUAAAAAAGGGUGGAAUUGAGUAAGGAGGGUUAGGAAUGCUAGAGCAAUGUGUGUGUAUGCAGAUGACUGAGAAAUUGUGGUUUAAGCAAACUCGAAUGAGGUGGGACAGCUUUCUAAUAUUUCACGUACAACAGCUUGAGUAAGGGCCUCAAGGUGGGAUUGUGAAUGGCCUGUUCUAACAGUAAGGGAGGCCAGGGCCAAGAGUGGAGUGAUGGGGGAAGAUGGGGUCGUAGGAGAAGAGGUCAGGUGGUUAAAUGAUCGUCUGAGGUCCUUUUGGCAUUUACUCUGAAUGAAGUAGUCUUGUGUUGUUGUUUUUUUCUUUUUUUGUCUUUUUCCUAUUUCUUGGGCCGCUCCUGCGGCGUAUGGAGGUUCCCAGGCUAGGGGUCGAAUCGGAGCUGUAGCCACCGGCCUACACCAGAACCACAGCAACGCGGGAUCCGAGCCGCGUCUGCAACCUUCACCACAGCUCACGGCAACGCCGGAUCGUUAACCCACUGAGCAAGGGCAGGGACCGAACCCGCAACCUCAUGGUUCCUAGUCGGAUUCGUUAACCACUGCGCCACGAUGGGAACUUCGUCUUGUGUUGUUUUUAGGUAGAGGAGUAUCAUGACGUGAUGCACUCUGGCUGAAAAUGAUUGUUAUACCCACAUUUAGUCCAUUAGGAAAUCUUACUGGCUUGACUUACAUUCUGCCUGUUCAUACUCUAGUUGGAGCUACCAACAUCUUUCACCUGGAUUUCCCAAGUUCUUUCCUAAUUAACGAACAUGCUUUCACAUUGUCUGCCAUCUAUUUAAUAUAACAGGAAUUCCCACUGUGGCAUAGUGGGUUAAGGAUCCAGUAUUGUCAGUGCAGCAGCUUGGGUCCCCGCUGUGGCACAGGCUUGAUCCCUGGCCUGGGAACUUCCAUAUGCUGCAGAUGCAUCCAAAAAAAAAUUUUUUUUUUAAAUAUGACAGCUAGAGUGAUCCUUUAAAAAUGGAAAUCAGAUAAUGUCACAACUCAUCUCAAAUCCUUCCCUCCUCAACAGGGGCUUUUCAUUUCAUUCAGAGUAAGAACCCAUGGAAAGGUCUGUAAAGCCCUACAUGAUCUGCCCUUCUCUCCUUAGCUCUCUGAGUUGGUGCUGCUCUCCUUUGCUCACUUCGCUUUAGCCACACUGUACAGUGGACUUUUUACAGAUUUUUUUUCUUUUUAGGACCACACCUGUGGCAUAUGGAAGUCCCCAGCCUGGGGGUUACAUUGGAGCUGCAACUGCCAGCCUAUGCCACAGCCAUGGCAAUGCCAGAUCUGAGCCCUGUCUUUGACCUGUAUACCAUAGCUCAUGGCAACACCGGAUCCUUAACUCACUGAGCAAGGUCAGGAAUCCCGAACCCAUGAUUCUAGUCGGUUUCUAGAAUCCUCAUGGAUACUAGUUGGUUUCUUAACAUGCUGAGCCACAAUGGGAACUCCAAGAGAUUAUUUUUCAAGGUCAGACUCCUUUACCUUAGUGUUUGCAUCAGCUAAUUCUCUAGAUAUUUCUUAAAAGCCUGGUUUGUUUGUUUUAAAAACAGAUUAGGGUUUUCAAAGUAGAAAGGAAGCUGAUAAAUUUUCAGGAGAGUUAAAAUUGAGGCUAGAACUUCUCUAUUAGAUGGUAUCAUCAAUUCCCUUGGCUUUACCAACCAUCUAGAUUCCAGUCCAAAACUUUUCCUCUCUCCUCAAGCAAGCUGUGUGUCUGGCCAAGAGGCCAUGGAAGCCUGAUACGGAAUCUAUACCCCUGGUUUCGUCUAAUUUGGAUAACCUCCAGUCUCCAGUUACAUGGACUUUUUCUUUGAAGUCAGUGGUCCUUGUUAAAUGCUACCACUUGUCAAGAGAAAGGGUUUAGAUGAGAAAAACUUGAUUAUAUAAGAUGUUAUGGUGGGGGAAGACUUCUUGCUGUUGCUGUUACAGACAUUGUUUGUGUGUUUUCAUGUGCUAGAACUGGACCUCUGCAGUUUUCACAUGAAAUCACCCCAUCCUUUCAAUUGCCUAGGACCUACAGUCGUAGAAAAUUGAAUCAAGAGGAGACUUCCUUUAAUGCCCCAUGCACACUAUACUAUGCCUAAAGCAGAUGCUAACACUGGAGCUCUUAGAGUUCUCCUUGGUCAAACUUGGUACGUCUGAAAUGGAAUUCCUGAGUCUUCCCACUCCACAAUAACUUCCUCAACUUUCCCCAUUUAUUUUUUUUAAUCAUUAUUUUUAUUUUUUCAUUACUCAGAUGAAUUUAUCACAUCUGUAGUUGUAUAAUGAUCAUAACAAUCCAGUUUCACAGGAUUUCCAUCCCACAGCCCAAACACAUCCCCCCACCCCCCCUUCCCUAUUUCUUUAAAUGGUGCUUGUGUCUACAUAGCUGCUCCAGCCAGAUUCCUGGUAGUCGUCCUGAUUCUUCCCUUAUUUAUUAUUUUCCCUUUUCUGUUCUUUAGCACAUUUUUUAUCAAAUGUUGCCACUUAAGUCCACGUCUGCCACAAGCAUAGUCAAACCAUAGUCAUGUCCCACCAGGACUACUGCAGUGGCAUUCUGGCUUCUCAUCUUCCUUUUUUUUUCUUUGUUUUCCUUCAAUUUAAUUUACAUUCAGUAAGCUGAGAUGAUAUUGUUAAUCAUAUAGGUUGUCACUCCGUAACUUAGAACCUAUUGGCAACUUCCCAGUGUAUUUAAAAUGCCAGUCCAUAACUUAGAACCUAUUGGCAACUUCCCAGUGUAUUUAAAAUGCCAGUCCUGGGAGUUCCCGCUCUGGUGCGGUGGGUUAAGGAUCUGGUGUUGCUGCAGCUGUCUCAGCUCCAGCUCAGAUUUGAUCCCUGGCCCAGGAACUUCCAUGUGCCAUGAGUGCAGCUGAAAAAGAAAAAAUAAAAUGUCAGUCCUUAGGCCUGGAAAUGUCUGGUCUCUCCCCCACAUUCCGGUGUCAUUUCAGAUCCCUUUCCCCCUCACCUUUUCCUAACCACACGCCCUCCUUUCAGAUCCUGUUAACUAAAGACUUUCCCUGCCUCACGGCCUUCUAGCUGAAAGGACCUUUCUCUUGACUAUUUUAGGGCUAUUCCCCCCCCCCCCCCCCUUUUUUUGGCCAUCCUGUGGCAUAUGGAGUUCCCGGGCCAGGGAUCAGAUCUAAGCUGCAGCUGUAGCAAUACUGGAUCCUUAACCCACUGUGCUGGGCCGGGGAUCAAACCUGUGUCCCAGUGGUCCCAAGAUGCUGCUAAUCCUGUUGCGCCAUAGCGGGAACUCCAGGGCUGAUUUACUCUUCAGGUCCUCGCUUCAGGAUCAAGCUUCAGAGGAAGGUCCCUGACAACCUCUAAGAGAUGCUUCCCCACCCCCACCCCCAUUCUUCCCUACCAUUGUGCCCAGUUUGUGUAUUUUGUGGUACUUAGUUUCUUUGCUUACUCAUGCGUUGAAUAUUUUCCUCAUAAAUUGUAAGUAAGGGGGCUGCCCCAGUGCCUGGCAACAGUGUCUGACUUGUAAUGGGCAUUUAAUAAUGUGUAUUUAUAUAUAAGCUAUUUGAAUGUUGUGCUUCUCUUAGGAACAUACUAUCCUCUACCCUUGUCCCCAUCAUUCACUGCCUUAGCACUUAUCAGUUGCUCAAGAAACUGAGUGCCAGCACAGGACCAGGCCCUGGGUAGGACCAGAGGAUUCCCAGAUGGCCCAUUAGGGUUAGAGUUGUGCUCUACUCUAUAUGUCAGCCGUCAAGAAAGGCAGACGUUUAAAAAAAAAGGAGUUCCCAUUGUGGCUUAGUGGUAAUGAACCCGACUAGUAUCCAUGAGGAUGCGGGUUUGAGUCCUGGCUUCACUCUGGGUUAAGGAUCCAGCGUUCCUAUGAGCUUGUGGUGUAGGUCACAGAUGCAGCUCAGAUCCCAAGUUGCUAUGGCUGUGGCCAUGGCUUUUUUGCCCCCUAGCCUGCGAACUUCCAUGUGCCAUAGCUGUGGCCCUAAAAAG
rnacentral:lncRNA from 1 species